UCAUUUAAGUGUGGGCAGUGGAGGCAAGGUUGUUUUGCUGCAGAACCCUCUCUACCAGAGUCCUUCUAAAGCCUGUCAGCUAAGGGAUGUAACUUCUCACCUGUUCUAUCAUCUUGUGCAUCGUGCUUCUGUCCAGUGGCCUGUCUUUGCAGCAAGGGGAUGCUAUCCUGUGCUGCUGUGACCACCAGCAUUUGGAGAGAUGGAAGCUGCAUUUAAGGAUUCUGCCAGGCAGAAGAGAGAAGUGACCCUGGACCCUUCAGUUCAUGGCAGCACCAUGGCUCUUCCUUGUCGCGGCUGCCUCUGCUCCCCAGGCCGCACGCUGCUGCAGCACAGCUAUUUCCAGGUGUGUUUUCCCUCGCCAAACCUGCAGCAUAGGAAGCGAGCCCUGCCCGCUGUGUGGCUGCCUAAUCUCCUAUCACUCAUUGUUCCUUUCAGCAACACAGCGUUGUGUGUUCUGUGUUUGGCAUUGCUGAAAUAAAGAGCAUAAUUUGAGGUGGAGUACGUAUGCCUGAAGAUUUUCUGAGAAGCAUGAACCUGAAGAACAAAUUUUGCAUUGUGACCUUUAUUUUGAACUUAUUUUCUUGAAACGUGGGACGGGGAUUUGAUUUUGUCCAAGACAACAGCAGUAACUUUUUUCUUUGAGACUGGCCUUGGUGCUGCAGAAUUUAAGCUUUUUAGUCCUUGAGUGAUGAAGACUUGAUGAAGUGCUAGGUCUGCAGACAAGCUGGAAAAAUAACUUCUGCAGCCAAAUACAGGCUUCUUCAGCCUCAGCAGGCACUCUUUAGUGAACGAGAACCACCUUGUUCUCCUUUAUAGCUCACAUUAAGCCAGACAAGACUGCUCUGCACAGAAGACAGAUUUCAGAGCGUAUUGAAAAAAAAACACCACAAGAGAGAAGGAUCUCUGCUGCCUGUGGUCCUGUGCAAAGAUGGAAGGCAUCCCAGCUGAAUCAGAAUUCACCGAGACAAGAAUAGAAAAGGUAUACCUGAAGGAAAACACAGGAGGGGGCAAUGUAAAUCUAACAUUGUCUGUUUAAUUACAG